UACGUAGGGUGUAAGCGUUGUCCGGAAUUAUUGGGCGUAAAGAGCUCGUAGGCGGUCUGUCGCGUCGGAUGUGAAAAUCCAGGGCUCAACCCUGGACCUGCAUUCGAUACGGGCAGACUAGAGUUCGGCAGGGGAGACUGGAAUUCCUGGUGUAGCGGUGAAAUGCGCAGAUAUCAGGAAGAACACCCGUGGCGAAGGCGGCUCUCUGGGACGGUACUGACGCUGAGACGCGAAAGCGUGGGGAGCGAACAGG
rnacentral:rRNA from 1 species